rnacentral:rRNA from 1 species
AUUGAACGCUGGCGGCAGGCCUAACACAUGCAAGUCGAACGGUAACAGGAAACAGCUUGCUGUUUCGCUGACGAGUGGCGGACGGGUGAGUAAUGUCUGGGAAACUGCCUGAUGGAGGGGGAUAACUACUGGAAACGGUAGCUAAUACCGCAUAACGUCGCAAGACCAAAGAGGGGGACCUUCGGGCCUCUUGCCAUCGGAUGUGCCCAGAUGGGAUUAGCUAGUAGGUGGGGUAACGGCUCACCUAGGCGACGAUCCCUAGCUGGUCUGAGAGGAUGACCAGCCACACUGGAACUGAGACACGGUCCAGACUCCUACGGGAGGCAGCAGUGGGGAAUAUUGCACAAUGGGCGCAAGCCUGAUGCAGCCAUGCCGCGUGUAUGAAGAAGGCCUUCGGGUUGUAAAGUACUUUCAGCGGGGAGGAAGGGAGUAAAGUUAAUACCUUUGCUCAUUGACGUUACCCGCAGAAGAAGCACCGGCUAACUCCGUGCCAGCAGCCGCGGUAAUACGGAGGGUGCAAGCGUUAAUCGGAAUUACUGGGCGUAAAGCGCACGCAGGCGGUUUGUUAAGUCAGAUGUGAAAUCCCCGGGCUCAACCUGGGAACUGCAUCUGAUACUGGCAAGCUUGAGUCUCGUAGAGGGGGGUAGAAUUCCAGGUGUAGCGGUGAAAUGCGUAGAGAUCUGGAGGAAUACCGGUGGCGAAGGCGGCCCCCUGGACGAAGACUGACGCUCAGGUGCGAAAGCGUGGGGAGCAAACAGGGUUAGAUACCCUGGUAGUCCACGCCGUAAACGAUGUCGACUUGGAGGUUGUGCCCUUGAGGCGUGGCUUCCGGAGCUAACGCGUUAAGUCGACCCGCCUGGGGAGUACGGCCGCAAGGUUAAAACUCAAAUGAAUUGACGGGGGCCCGCACAAGCGGUGGAGCAUGUGGUUUAAUUCGAUGCAACGCGAAGAACCUUACCUGGUCUUGACAUCCACGGAAGUUUUCAGAGAUGAGAAUGUGCCUUCGGGAACCGUGAGACAGGUGCUGCAUGGCUGUCGUCAGCUCGUGUUGUGAAAUGUUGGGUUAAGUCCCGCAACGAGCGCAACCCUUAUCCUUUGUUGCCAGCGGUCCGGCCGGGAACUCAAAGGAGACUGCCAGUGAUAAACUGGAGGAAGGUGGGGAUGACGUCAAGUCAUCAUGGCCCUUACGACCAGGGCUACACACGUGCUACAAUGGCGCAUACAAAGAGAAGCGACCUCGCGAGAGCAAGCGGACCUCAUAAAGUGCGUCGUAGUCCGGAUUGGAGUCUGCAACUCGACUCCAUGAAGUCGGAAUCGCUAGUAAUCGUGGAUCAGAAUGCCACGGUGAAUACGUUCCCGGGCCUUGUACACACCGCCCGUCACACCAUGGGAGUGGGUUGCAAAAGAAGUAGGUAGCUUAACCUUCGGGAGGGCGCUUACCACUUUGUGAUUCAU